rnacentral:piRNA from 1 species
UGCACUGUGACUGGUACCGAAGGAUACU